rnacentral:rRNA from 1 species
GUCUAUGUCCUUAGCACCCUGAAUGUGCCCAAUCUCGUCGGAUCAUGGAAACUAAGCAGGGACGGGCCUGGUUAAUACUUGGAUGAAAGAAAUG